CCUACGGGAGGCAGCAGUGAGGAAUAUUGGUCAAUGGACGCAAGUCUGAACCAGCCAUGCCGCGUGCAGGAAGACGGCUCUAUGAGUUGUAAACUGCUUUUGUACGAGGGUAAACGCAGAUACGCGUAUCUUUCUGAAAGUCUCGUACGAAUAAGGAUCGGCGAACUACGGUACAGCAGCCGCGGUAAUACGGAGGAGUCAAGCGUUAUCCAGAUUUAUUGGGUUUAAUGGGUGCGUAGGCGGUCGGAUAAGUUAGCGGUGAAAUCCCGAGGCUCAACUUCGGAAUUGCCUCUGAUACUGUUAGGCUAGAGAGUAGGUGCGGUAAGCGGAAUGUAUGGUGUAGCGGUGAAAUGCUUAGAGAUCAUAAAGAACACCGAUUGCGAAGGCAGCUUACCAAGCUACUUCUGACGUUGAGGCACGAAAGCGUGGGGAGCAAACAGGAUUAGAUACCCCAGUAGUC
rnacentral:rRNA from 1 species